ensembl:lncRNA novel transcript, antisense to DLC1
ACAUUCUUCUAUCCCAGUAGCUUGUGUUCCUUCUCUCACUCAUUUCGAAUCUGAAAACUGGAAAAGAAAGUUCUUUCAUACUGAUUUUCAGAUCUGUGGCUGAUACUGACCAUGUGAAUCUGCAUAUUUCACAGUUCUGGAGCGGGCAGGCACUCUUAUCUGGAAUUUAAGUGUAUAAUGAAGCAGUUCUACUCCAACCAGGACCAAGGUUCGAACAGUACUGUCCAGCAUGCUCUGAGCUUGAGAGUGUGGGAUCUCAAGGUUGGAAGAUGCUGGAGAAAACUCAGCAUUAAGUGUCGAUAAUUACCAUGAUUUUUUAACAAACGUUUAUUUGAAUGAUUUCUUUUUUCAAACAAUACCUGGGCUACUCAGCCAAAAUAAUGAAUAGGGAAUUUCAGUGGGAAAUUAGUAACAGAAAAGGGAAAUAAGACGUAACAGGAAGUGUCUAGAUUUCUUCUAUGGGUUUUAGAAUUCUGUUGGAGAUGAGUAUUUCUAACCCUGGAAAGUUACCAAAAAUGAAAUGAAGAUUGAAUUUCCUAUGAAUAGGAAGAAGUUGAAGAAAACCUGGAGAUUGUGCGCAAUCCUGUCUGAACUAUGCAUCUGGUGACACGUCUGGACAGAAGUGUUUUGAUAGACUAGUUUUCCAUCCUCUCUUCUUGUCAGUUUUCUUCUACGAAUGUCCUCCCCCUCCCUCUGUGGUGUACUCGGUUGUAAACAUAGGCUUUUACUUUUUAAGGCAAAUAUUCCUCAGGAUUAUUGACAGAAGAGGAAAUUCUCUUUAAAAUAGCUUUGUGAUAUGAUUCUUGUCUUUUACUUGCAAAAAAACCUUUUGGGAAACAGAACAGAAUGGAUGGAAAAUACCAUGAUAGGAAAAGAGCUCUCUAGUUUAACCUUAAUUUUAGAUCUAUUCUCUUCCUUGGAAGUGUCAUUUAUGGUUUUUGCUGACUCAUUUCCCUGCCAUUGCUAUUACCCUGGAGGAGGCACCAUGACAAGCCAUGCACAGACUUCAUAGCAUUAGUAACUUCUUGGGUCUUUGAUGUGUUUUGUGUCAACAGAAUCAUUGUAGUACUCACGGUGUGUGUUGUUGGGGUCGGAGGUGACUUUGAAGAAAGUCUUGAAGUUUGGAAGGACAAAAAUGCUCAGGGGGAAAAAAGACUGUUCUGUUAAGGAAAAUAUUACUGUCAAGCCAGAAAUAUUUCUGAAGUCUUCAUUAGGUCUAGUAAUCUCCAAGGAUUAGGAUGACGGGACCCGCGGUUGGAUGACCUCUGUUGGAUGUGCUAAUACAUAGAGGCUGAGUGGGCUGGAUGGGUGGAAAACAGAGAGACGGAGUGCAAAACCAAACUCUGAAAAGAGCAGCUGUCUUUACAAUGCUCAUUCACUUUCUGUUACUUGCCGGCCAAUGUAAUGAGAACCGCUAUCAUAGGUGAAGGUUAAGUACACUAUUUCCCUUAGACUUUAAAGUCCGCUUUAGUAUUUUGCUGAUGAGUAUUAAUGAGCAAGGAUUAAAUUUCAGAUUUUAAAAAAUCUUUUUAUCUAAAAAUAAUAAUAAUUACAGAUGGAGACAGUUUCAGGGUAAUUUCAACUCUUUUACUUCAUACACACACACAGUCAUAGGUUUUAGAAGCAGUAAAAUAUUUUAUUGAGCUAAAGUCAUGGCUAUUUCAUUUCAUUAUGAGUAAGAUACUUUACAAAUAAAAUAAAUCAUUGGCAAAUAAAAUGCUGUAUUUUAAUGAUCUGAAAACAUAACAUCUUUUUAAAUAGGCACUAGGUAUUUUGCAGAUUUCACCAAUUACUUGUCACACUGUGGCUGGAAAUUCUGAACCAUUCCAUUCAUUUAUUAACUCAGCCAGAAAACUGUUUUUAAAUAUUUAUGGGAAUGCUUGUGGUCAGAUUCCUGCAUUGCCUUUACAUAUAACUAAGUGGAAAGAAAGCUUUUCAAUCAGUUUCUGGUACAAGCACCUGUCUUACAUUUUGCAUCAUAACUGUAACUAUGACACUAAUUGGCUUGCUUCUUAACACCUUCUUGAUCAUACUGCCUGAAUUUGGCCAGUCUUGCAACAUGGCAUUUUGCAAUCCCAUGUUAAAAUGAGGCUAUUAUAGACCAGAUGGCAUUAUUGGGUGGUCACACUAGGAAAAAAAAAAUGCCAAAAAACUACAUUGCAAGUUUUCAUUUUAGAUAGGAAAACAGAGUUCAUUUCAGUCUGCAGAACAGACUAAUAAAUAUCAUUUGCACCUGUAAGAAUAGCUGGACUUACUCUAAGGCAGGGCUUCUGAAAAUGGGGUCUGGUACCCCCGGCAAUUGUGCAAGAUGAUCCAUUGGAGAAAAUAUGACUAACUUCUAUUUAUAUCAUUUUUUAAUUGAAGAAUAAAUUUAAGCUUUGCAAAUAUUUAACUUAAGUGGAUUAAUGCUGAUUCCUACUUCAUUCCACAUGGCAUGUGUCACUUAUACUCAAAGUCUGUUAAGGGGAGAUUGUGGUUCCGCGGCAUAAAUGAGUUGGCCAAGUCUCUCUCAAUCAUUCUUUUGCUUUCAUCAUUUACAUAAGGGCGGGGGGCCCAAACUUUUGGUUUCCCUGGGCCACAUUGGAAGAAGAAGAAUUGUCUUGGGCCAGACAUAAAAUAGACUAACACUAAUGAUAGCUGAUGAGCUAAAAAAAAAAUAGCAAAAAAUUCUUCUAAUAUUUUAAGAAAGCUUGACAAAUUUAUGUUGGGCUGCAUUCAAAGCUGUCUUGGGAUGCAUGUAGUCCACAGGCCGUGGGUUGGACAAGCUUGAUUUAAAUGUUUCAAGUCAUUUAUGGAUGAACAUAAGUAGACAUAAGAGAGUUUAAAGACAUAUUAUCUCAUCUGAAAGAAAUUUGACUAAAAUAAUACUAAUAAGUCAAGACAAAGUGAAGAGCAAGAGACCAUUGACAUUUCUCUGAGUCCUAUUAGGAACUAUUGAUGUUUUGACAAUCUAAUCAGAUUUGACAAAAUUUCUGCCUCCACCUUCUCCCCCAUGGAAGGAUCAAGAAGACUAUUAAAAUAUAGAUAGCCCCUUACUCUUUUUCAAAGUGAACCUUGACCUAGAGGAAAAAUGUGCCUUGAGAUGUUAGCUAAGGAUAGAGCAAAGUCAUCACUGUUAGCAAGACAUUUUAAAUAUAUUCUGUGAUUUCUCCUGUGAUGUUUAGUUAUGUAACACCCAAUUAAUGUUUAAUGAAAAACUUCACUGAAUAGCCAAUGAUCUAAAGACUCAUUGAGGAAACAUGUUCAUCUUGCCUUAGUAAAAAUGGCUGAAAGAAUCCUUGGAAAACAACGUGGUUAGCAGGCUAAAAUACAUUCCUUUGAAUGUAUUUCCCAGUAAAAACACAGUCGACAUUGCAAAAGAUCUGAAUAAACAAGUUUUAUAACAAAUUAUGUCAUGUAAAAGGUUUGGAAUAUACAGUAAAUGUAAGCACAGAUGUUUCUAAUACGUCUCGGCUUAUAGUAUUUGCUAAAUUUUGUUUCAGUGAUGGAAUAUGAACGAUUACCUUCCCCCUUUCAUUAUGAGCCACUAAAGGGAAGAAAGACCAAUGAGGUGAUAGUCUCAACAGUAAAUGGCUCGUUUAACAAAUAUAAUAUUUCAUCUAAAAACUAUAAAUGUAACCACAGAAAGAAUUCUAGGCUAAGUUUAUGGAGAUAACAUUGCAAAAUUAAUAAACGAGCUAUUUUAGCAAAAAGUUAAAGCUAAAAGUGCACAAAAUGCUAUAGACUGACAUUGAUAUUCUAAUGUUUUCAUUAAAAAAACCCAAAUUAGUAAAAAGUGAGUUCUUUACAAUAUUUGAAAUGAGGUAGGGAGUGGCCACAAACACCAUUUGUUACCAUACAGAGGUUUGCUGGUUAUCUCAGAGCAAAGAACUCGAACAGCACAUGACUUACUAAUUUUUUUUUUACAAAAAUCAAAUAACUCAAAUUUACUGACAUUUCAGUGAUGAUAAGCAGCUGUCACUAUUAUGCUACUGAGAAUACAUUUUUUUAAACAUUACAUAAUUUGUUUCUCCAAGAUAAAGAUGUCACUUAAACAAUGAGUGAGCAAGUAAGUGCUUUAUAAAAGAAGUUGUGUUAUGUAUAAAUCAUUCUAAAAAUAUUUUGGAAAUGUGUAUAUUGUUAUAUGAAUUUAUUACUGAAAAUGAUGUGUAUUUACUACCU